CUACGGGUGGCAGCAGUGAGGAAUAUUGCACAAUGGGGGGAACCCUGAUGCAGCAACGCCGCGUGGAGGAUGACGCAUUUCGGUGUGUAAACUCCUUUUAUAUGUCAAGAAAAUGACGGUAGCAUAUGAAUAAGCACCGGCUAACUCCGUGCCAGCAGCCGGCGGUAAUACGGAGGGUGCAAGCGUUACUCGGAAUCACUGGGCGUAAAGGACGCGUAGGCGGGUUGGAAAGUCAGGUGUGAAAUCCUACAGCUUAACUGUAGAACUGCACUUGAAACUUCUAAUCUAGAGUAUGGGAGGGGGAGAUGGAAUUAGUGGUGUAGGGGUAAAAUCCGUAGAUAUCACUAGGAAUACCUAAGGCGAAGGCGAUCUCCUGGAACAUUACUGACGCUAAGGCGUGAAAGCGUGGGGAGCAAACAGGAUUAGAUACCCUCGUAGUC
rnacentral:rRNA from 1 species